UACGUAGGGUCCGAGCGUUGUCCGGAAUUACUGGGCGUAAAGAGCUCGUAGGUGGUUUGUCGCGUUGUUCGUGAAAACUCACAGCUCAACUGUGGGCGUGCGGGCGAUACGGGCAGACUGGAGUACUGCAGGGGAGACUGGAAUUCCUGGUGUAGCGGUGAAAUGCGCAGAUAUCAGGAGGAACACCCGUAGCGAAGGCGGCACUCUGGGCCGAUUCUGACACUGAGGAGCGAAAGCGUGGGGAGCGAACAGG
rnacentral:rRNA from 1 species